rnacentral:rRNA from 1 species
AACGAACGCUGGCGGCAUGCCUAACACAUGCAAGUCGAACGAGACCUUCGGGUCUAGGCGCCCACGGGGGUGGAACGCGUGGGAACCUGCCCUUAUGGUCGGAAUAACUCCCCGAAUGGGGUGCUAAUACCGGAUAAGGGCUUCGGACCGAAAAUUUAUCGCAUUGGUUUGGGCCCGCGUUGGAUUCGCUAGUUAGUAGGGUAAAAGCCUACCAAGGCGACGAUCCGUAAAUGGUCUGUGAGAAUGAUCAGCCACUCUGGGACGGAGACACGGCCCAGACUCCUCCGGGAGGCAGCAGAGGGUGAUAUUGGACCACGGGCGAAGUCCUGAUCCUGCUCUGCCGCUUGAGCGAUGAAGGCCUUAGGGUUGUAAAGUUCUUUUACCCGUGAUGAUAUUGACGGUACCGGAACAAUAAGCUCCGGCUAACUCCGUG